rnacentral:rRNA from 1 species
UACGGAGGUGGCAAGCGUUGCUCGGAAUUACUGGGCGUAAAGGGCUCGUAGGCGGCCAACUAAGUCAGACGUGAAAUCCCUCGGCUUAACCGGGGAACUGCGUCUGAUACUGAAGAUCUUGAGUCCGGGAGAGGUGAGUGGAACUGCGAGUGUAGAGGUGAAAUUCGUAGAUAUUCGCAAGAACACCAGUGGCGAAGGCGGCUCACUGGCCCGGUACUGACGCUGAGGCACGAAAGCGUGGGGAGCAACAGGAU